UAAAAUUCCAUUCUAAUGGCAAAUGGUGAAGAAAAAGAACUCCCUGGCAUUCUGACUUGUGUGGUUUACCAGGAUAGGGGAACGCAGGGUACUGAGUAAAUGACUCACUCCUAUUACUCAUGUGGUGUUAGGCUUCCUCCAACUGAUUCUAUGAAAAAUAGAAAGUAAUGAAGAAUUAAAGGCUUGUUUCUGCUAUCUUUAGCAUAAGAAGUUUUGAAGAACUUUUCAUAUAUUAAUGACUAAUGGCAAAGUCUAUUGUUCAUUUUGUUAAAUUCUUAUUUCAUUCAACUUGCUGAUAUUUUCACAUAAUUUAUCUGCAUAGAGUCUCACAAUAAGCCUGAAAUAGAGGUGAAUGAAAUAACUCAGAAGUUGUUCUCCAUAGUGGAGGGCUAUCUGAUGGGGGCAGACAUUCCCUGGUGGGAAGUCAAGGGCAUGCAGGGUUCAAAGGCAGACAUGACUAUCAUAAUCAUAUGAGGAGAUGGCUUCCUCACCUGGUAGAUGGACCACAAACACAGAGGUGAAUGUAUUCAAAUUUCAUAUUCACUGCUUCUAUUCCUUACCAUCUCAGAUUUUAAAUCUUAGUGACUCUUAGCAUGUUACCAAUCACUGACCUCUUUUCAUUUGUGUUAUGUCUACACAGUAAAAAAAAUAAGGUAAACAGCACUUAUUUGUCUCCCAAGGUCCUGAUAGGACU